GACGAACGCUGGCGACGUGCCUAAUGCAUGCAAGUCGGACGCAGGGGGCUUGCCCCGCUGCGUGGCGCACGGCUGAGGAACACGUGGGUAUCAACCCUGGAGUGGGGGAUACCCCGUCGAAAGACGGGACAAGCCCGCAUACGAUCCGCAAGGAUGAAAGGCGCAAGCCGCUCCGGGACGAGCCUGCGGCCCAUCAGGUAGUUGGUGUGGUAACGGCGCACCAAGCCAGUGACGGGUUCCUGGUCUGAGAGGACGACCAGGCAGACUGGGACUGAGACACGGCCCAGACUCCUACGGGAGGCAGCAGCAAGGGAUUUUCCCCAAUGGGCUCACGCCUGAGGGAGCAACGUCGCGUGCCGGAUGACGGCCUUCGGGUUGUAAACGGCUUUUGGGGGGGAAGAUUCUGACGGUACCCCCCGAAUAAGCCCCGGCUAACUCCGUGCCAGCAGCCGCGGUAAGACGGAGGGGGCAAGCGUUGUCCGGAAUUACUGGGCGUAAAGCGCGCGUAGGUGGUUCGUUGCGUCGGUGCUGAAAGCGCCGGGCUUAACCCGGUGAGGCGUGCCGAUACGAGCGAGCUAGAGGCAGGGAGAGGGCAGCGGAAUUCCGGGUGUAGUGGUGAAAUGCGUAGAGAUCCGGAGGAACGCCAGAGACGAAGGUGGCUGCCUGGCCCUGACCUGACACUGAGGCGCGAUAGCGUGGGGAGCAAACCGGAUUAGAUACCCGGGUAGUCCACGCCGUAAACGAUGCCAGCUCGGUGUCUGGGCCCUUUACGGGGCCUGGGUGCCUAAGCACACGCGGUAAGCUGGCCGCCUGGGGAGUACGAGCGCCAGCUUUAAAACUCAAGGAUUGACGGGGGCCCGCACAAGCAGCGGAGCGUGUGGUUUAAUUCGACGCAACGCGAAGAACUUUACCCAGGUUUUGACAUGCAGUUGCAAGCCGGUGAAAGCUGGUCGCUUUCGAGGGUGCUGCACAGGUGCUGCAUGGUUGUCGUCAGCUCGUGUCGUGAGAUGUUGGGUUAAGUCCCGCAACGAGCGCAACCCGCGUCGCUAGUUACAUGUGUCUAGCGAGACAGCCGCCUUUAUGGGCGGAGGAAGGCGCGGAUGACGUCAAAUCCGCAUGGCCCUUACACCUGGGGCGACACACACGCUACAAUGGGCUGGUACAGUGCGCUGCAAGGCCGUAAGGCGGAGCAAAUCGUCAAACCGGUCCCCAGUUCAGAUCGAGGGCUGCAACUCGCCCUCGUGAAGGUGGAGUUGCUAGUAACCGCGUAUCAGCCAUGGCGCGGUGAAUGCGUUCCCGGGCCUUGUACACACCGCCCGUCACGUCAUGGGAGUGGCCAAGGCGUGAAGUCCGUGGGCUAACCCGCAAGGGAGGCAGCGGCCGAGCGUCGGGGUCGCGACUGGGACG
rnacentral:rRNA from 1 species